AUUGUUUGUUUUAUUUCUGUUAUUUCCCGCCUGAAUUCAUCCCUUAGCUCCUGGAUAUUUCUCUGUAGCUCCAUCAUCAUGCUUAUGACUUUUAUUUUGAAUUCCUUUUCAGGAAGAUUGGUGAUUUCAGUCUCAUCAAGCCCUCUCUCUUGUGUUGAGGGAUUUGGGACUGAACGAGGUUCUUCUGCCUUUAUAUGGCGAUGGGAAUGGGGGCCAGGGAGUGGCGCGUGUGUCAGCUGGGAGAACAAAAUCGCUUCCUGCUUGCCAGUAGCCUUGCCAGUCUCCGCAGUCUGUGCCAGUUAACCGCACACAGGGAGCAGCCUCUGGGCUAAUCCCCUGAGCUGCCGUGGGUGGGGCAGCCCUUGUGAUGGCCUAGGGCACUGGUGGGCGUUGCACGCGAGUGGUGCGUGUUCUGCCGUUAUAACAGAGCCCCUUUGUGCCUUCCGGACUCUGCGCCCAUCUCCGCUGUCUGUGCCGGUCAACCGCACGCAGGGGGACAGCCUCUAGGUUUGGGCCGGUUAGUCGUGCGCCUGGAGAAGCCUCUGUGCUAAGCUGUGUGGUUGCUGUAGGCAGGGCUGCUCCCGGGCUGUUCCACAGCAAUGGCGGGUCAGCUGGUUUGCUUGUAGUGCUGGCGAGGGGGAAGGAACGGCAGGCUGCCUAUCACCUCAAGCGGGUUUGGAGCUGCGUUGUCACCCAGGGGGUUAGGGCACCUGAAGUUCCCUAAAGUUCCCAGCCUGCUGGGCUGAGUGUGCAGGACGAUUUUGUCCACCUGUUAAACCCUUGGCCCUUUAAGACUUUUAAAGCACUUGUUGUUUUUCUUUUGUCCCAGGGCAGCGGCUGUGGGAACUUGUUCACAGUCUCAGUCUCGAACCUUGCUUUUCUGCUCCUCCAGUAUCCAGUGCACCAUGCGGUGUGUGCCUGUGCUCCCGGGGCAGACCAGCAGGGCUGGUCAUUCAGCAGUCCUGUGCUUCCCCUGCCUGUGAGCUGGUGGGGGGAGUGCUCGGGUCCCGCCGGCUCACAGCUUUGUUUCCUACCCUUUUCCAUGAGGUGUUGGUCUCUCGGAGAUGUAGCCUGGCUCGUGUACUGUGUCUUCCGGUCACUCUUUUAGGGAUAGUUGUAUUCGCUGUAUUUUCCAAAUAUAUAUGGUUUUGGGAGGAGAUUUCCACCAUCCUACUUACACCGCUAUCUUGAGAAUCUCCCCGUGUGUUUGUUUCUUUCUGUGUCUUUUGUCUUCCAGUUCAUGAACCAGUUCGCAUUGCCUACGACAGGCCUCGGGGUCGCCCCGUGUCCAGAAAGAAGAAACCCAAGGAUUUUGACUUCACCCAGCAGAAGCUGACUGACAAGAACCUGGGGUUCCAGAUGCUGCAGAAGAUGGGCUGGAAGGAGGGCCAUGGCCUGGGCUCCUGUGGGAAGGGCAUCAGGGAGCCGGUCAGCGUGUACGCGGCAGGCGCUGAGGGCGGGGGGUGACUGUGCCCGGGGAGAGGAGCCUUUCUCUGGGAUUCUGCUCCUGAGCCCUUUGACUUGCAACCUGAUUCCUGGUCUCCCUUGUGUUGAACAUGGCCUCCAGCUAGCAGUUAGUUGUUUUUAACUAAGGGAGUCUUCAGGUGAGAAGCAGGUCAUUAUAUACACAGAUGUUUACCUGGCUCUGUGCUAGCACAGACUAUUUAAGUGGCUUCUCAGUCCCUGCCAUUUCAGCCACCUUCAUUAUUGCCAUAAAAGCUGAGUGGUAAUUCUGGGUAGUUAUACCAAGAGGCACUUUUCUUUUCUGGGAACCCAUAAGCAACCUGGCCAGAGAGGAGAACACAGCCCAGAGUUUAAGCCCCAUUAACACACAGCCAGCAUUCUAUGUAAAACCGAGCCUAGCACCUGCCGGGGGAGGUUUCUGCUCUUCCCAGGGGCUUCUGAGCGUGGCCUCAGAGGUCCCACCAACUGCACCGGGGGACGGCCUCAGAAGGGGAGGGGUUGGGCGCCGACGGGCAGGAGCACAAAGAAGACACGUUUGACGUGUUCCGUCAGAGGAUGAUGCAGAUGUACCGACAUAAACGGGCCAACAAAUAGUUCCAGGGUCUCUUCCGUGAGGACAACAGGCAUCCGGAAAGUGCUAACCUGCCACUCUGGGUGCUUACUGUCUCUGGCUUGUUUCUGUCCCUGGAAAUCAAAUAGAGAAUUUUAGCGUUUUUGAUCCUUGGUAAAACCUAGAAGACAUUUGUGAUGUUACAAAAUGGAAGUUUUUGGGUUUUUUCUUCUCCUUUUUUUUCUUUUUAAAUCUAAGAAGUUGUGAAUGUUGUUAAUCAUUUAGCAGUGGCAAUAAAUGUAGAGGAAACCCAA